rnacentral:rRNA from 1 species
GAAAUUGUUGAAAGGGAAGCGUUUAUGACCAGACUUGGGCUUGGUUAAUCAUCUGGGGUUCUCCCCAGUGCACUUUUCCAGUCCAGGCCAGCAUCAGUUUUCCCCGGGGGAUAAAGGCGGCGGGAAUGUGGCUCUCUUCGGGGAGUGUUAUAGCCCACCGUGUAAUACCCUGGGGGGGACUGAGGUUCGCGCAUCUGCAAGGAUGCGGCGUAA